GGCCUAAAGAACUGUGGUUCAGUGGUAGUGCAUUUGCUUUGCAUGCAGACGGUCACAGGUUCAAUCCCUGGAAUCUCCAGGUAGGCCU